AUACGGAGGAUCCGAGCGUUAUCCGGAUUUAUUGGGUUUAAAGGGUGCGCAGGCGGCCAUUUAAGUCAGCGGUUAAAUCGUGGGGCUCAACCCCAUUCUGCCGUUGAUACUGGGUGGCUUGAUUGCGGUCGAGGUUGGCGGAAUUCGUUGUGUAGCGGUGAAAUGCAUAGAUAUACCACAGAACGCCGAUUGCGAAGGCAGCUUACUAAGCUGUUACUGACGCUGAGGCACGAAAGCGUGGGGAUCAAACAGGAUUAGAUACCCUGGUAGUCCACGCUGUAAACGAUGAUUACUGGUUGUUAGCGAUAUAUAGCUAGUGACUGAGCGAAAGCAUUAAGUAAUCCACCUGGGGAGUACGUCGGCAACGAUGAAACUCAAAUGAAUUGGCGGGG
rnacentral:rRNA from 1 species